UGUCAAAUCCUCAUGCCCCUUAUGUCUUGGGCUACACACGUGCUACAAUGGUCUUCAACAAAGUGCAGCAAGGCAGUGAUGCCAAGCGAAUCACAAAACAGGACCCCAGUUCGGAUUGUAGGCUGCAACUCGCCUGCAUGAAGUUGGAAUCGCUAGUAAUCGCGAAUCAGCAUGUCGCGGUGAAUACGUUCCCGGGCCUU
rnacentral:rRNA from 1 species